GCCCCUGUGCCACGCCCGUGUAUCAGUCUCUGCCCGGCCCUAAUGGCCGCAGGUUCCAAUGUGUGUGCCAAUUUUCAAGACUUUUUUUAAGCAUGUUAAGGGCCCUAAAAGCCCCCGAAACCUUGAAAAAAAAUUAGAAUAAUAAAUAAUAAAUAUAGCUGCAAGCAGCGAUGGCGGGCUCAAGCCAUCAGUGCAAACGCCACCCCUGUGGCAUCGGGAAAACUGUGCCCACCGGGCACAUGCAUUUACAGUAACUCUCUGGCAGUCUGGUUUUAAAGGAUUCGGCAAUUAAAGGGUUAAUCCAAACCAUCAAGACUGUGAAAGACACACACACAGAACAAUAUAUAAAACUUUAGUAACACUUUUUAAUAAGGUUUCAGUUAUUAACAUGGACUCUAUUAAUGAACAUGAACAAUAAUUAUAUAGCAUGUCAAUGUCAGUUAAUAUUUAAAACUUAAAAAUUAAAAAAAUAAUAAUAAUCUGUUAAUAUUAGUUAAUGCACUGUGAACUAAUAUCAACAAACAUUAAUUAUGUGAAAAUAUAUUGUUCAUGUUAGUUAAUGUAUUUACUAUUGAAGUGUUACUGAGACCUUUAUUGAUUUACACCACGUGCAUAAUUAUUAGGCAUGUUGAUAUUGUGAUUAUUUUCUAAGCACAUUUUACCAGUUCCAAACGACAUCAAUCUUAAUAACUACCAUUAACUUUUGUGUUUAAUCAUUUAUGAGUGAUAUAUAAUUAUCCAUGAAGGCUGGAAGAGAAAAACUCUUUAUUAUUGGGGGGGGGGGGGGGUUACAGAUGAAAUGAGCCAAAAAAAAAGAGUUGUAACUCAGACUGAAAAGUCAAAAAUUAUUAAAUCCCCAUGAGAAAUAUUCAAAACUAUUGCAAUACAGAAAUUGCAAAAAUUAAGACAUGACCAUUGGACAAAAAAAAUGCUGACUGGGACAGGGGGGUUACAGUUUUAUUUUAAGAUUAGUUUAUGUACUGUGAAAUAACAUGAAUAUUAAUAUUUUUAAUGAUAGGAUUAACUAA
ensembl:lncRNA